rnacentral:lncRNA from 1 species
GUCAAGCACCAAGGACAAGGAGUUCCUCUUUUCUUCGUGCUGCUUUCUGUGCAGAGAACAGUACAGCCAGCUUCCCUUUCGUACCAAAGGAGCAUCUGGGCUCCAGAUCCUUCUGGCUGGAUAUCUGUUAUGUUCAGAAUCAUCAUCCGGUCACACAGAUGCCACACCUCAGGAGGCUUUAGCACAGGGAAGGUGGAGGCCGUAGCUGCAUCUCCAAGUCUUUGCAACAGCACGUAAGCUUGCGAAGGCAGGUAACAAUGGUUUGUGUUUUAAAGUGAAGCACAGCAAAUGUCGUAGAUCAGCUGUAAAGCAGGCCAUCUUGCCGGGCAUCCUUUCCCUGUUGCGUGUGGAAAAGUCUCGGCGGAACCCAUGGCGC